GACGAACGCUGGCGGCGUGCCUAAUACAUGCAAGUCGAGCGAAGUUUUUCUGGUGCUUGCCCUAGAAAAACUUAGCGGCGAACGGGUGAGUAACACGUAAAGAACCUGCCUCAUAGACUGGGACAACUAUUGGAAACGAUAGCUAAUACCGGAUAACAGCAUUAACUGCAUGGUUGAUGUUUAAAAGUUGGUUUUGCUAACACUGUGAGAUGGCUUUGCGGUGCAUUAGCUAGUUGGUGGGGUAAAGGCCUACCAAGGCGACGAUGCAUAGCCGACCUGAGAGGGUGAUCGGCCACACUGGGACUGAGACACGGCCCAGACUCCUACGGGAGGCAGCAGUAGGGAAUCUUCCGCAAAGGGCGAAAGCCUGACGGAGCAACGCCGCGUGAGUGAAGAAGGAUUUCGGUUCGUAAAGCUCUGUUGUUAGGGAAGAAUGAUUGUGUAGUAACUAUACACAGUAGAGACGGUACCUAAACAGAAAGCCACGGCUAACUACGUG
rnacentral:rRNA from 1 species